rnacentral:lncRNA from 1 species
UCAUUAAUUAGGAUUCUCCAAAUUUUCUUAGCUAGAAGAGCAUCAUUAAUGAUGGUCAUCUUCCUAAAUCCUAAGCUACCUUUGUCUUUCAAAAGGAGAAUCUUAUCCCAAAUUUUCCAACAUAUGCUUCUCUUAUUUGGUUCUCCCCCACCAAAAAUUCCUAAUCAUAUUGUCGAUCUUAUCAUUUAGGUUACUAGGAAGUUUAAAGACAUUCAUAGCAUAAGUAGGAAUGUCUUGAAUAUCUGCUUUUGCUUUAAUGAGGAUAACUUUUCUGGCAUAAGAUAGAUGUUUGUUGUUCCAGUCAUUAAUCUUGUUUUUGACCCUAUCAAGAAAAUAAACUGAAGUUAGAUCUGCAUAUAUGAGAGGGAAGGCCCAUGUACUUUCUCAUUUGAUUAGUUAUGUCAAUGGGCAUCUACUAAAUGAAAUUCAUUCGAGUAUCAUUAUUUGAUUUACUACUCAAUAUCAUAGAAAAUAUUAGUGGAAAUAAAUAAGUUGACGCAGACUAUUUUGGUACUUUUUUAGGAUUGGGUAAGGCUCUUUUGAUUCCUCCUCAUUAGCCCUACCAAAAAUUAAGAUAUCAUCAGCAAAAAAAAAUAGAUGUGAUAUUGUUAGGGGCAACCUUGGAUAUUUUUAGGUCGUGAGUACAACAUAUAGAUUGGCUAUUAGUGAUCUUCCUUGACAACAUCUCAACACAAAGAAUGACAAUGUAGGGGAUAUAUGGUCCCCUUAUCUGAUACCUCUAGAAAAAGUAGAACCAUAAUUACUAUCAUUAAUGAGAAUAGAGAAAGAAACAAUAUUAACACAAUUAAGAAUAGUGCUAGUGAGGUUUUGAUGAAAUCCCAUUACAAGUAAGCUAUUCUUGAUGAAAUCUAAUUUAAGUCUAUCAUAGGAUUUAGUCAUGUCUAACUUUAGUCAAACGUAGCGUUUAUUUUUAUUUUUUAUUCUUGCUAAGAGAGUGGAAGGAUUCAAAAUCCAAAAUGAUAUUGUCAUUUAUUAAUCUCUUCGGAAUGGAAGCACUUUGACAAGGGUUGAUAGUAGUAUUAAGCAUAGGUUUGAUUCUGUUAACAAUAGUUUAGUGAUGAUUUUAAGAGUGACAUUGCAUAAGGAUAUAGUCUAAAAUCUAUGGCCUUUUUGUUAGACGGUGUGGCUAGUGAUCGAGAGGGGGUGAAUAGAUCACCUCUUUUAAUUAAACGGAUUUAAAAAAUCUUAUCAGAGUUAUUGAAACUUAGCGGAAAGUUUGUGAGCAAAUUCUUUACUUUGAAUAAGUUUUGAAUGAUAGCAAAUUGUGUG